GUAGCUCAGUGGUGGAGCAUCUGCUUUGCCUGCAGAAGGUCCCAGGUUCAAUCCCCGGCAUCUCCA
rnacentral:tRNA from 1 species